ensembl:lncRNA
UAGAAUCCCCACUUUAACUUAAAAUCACGCAUUUUCUCUUCGCAAAUCCCCCAUUUAACCAAAAAUCACGCGUUUUCUCUUCGCAAAUCCCCCAUUUAAGCGAAAAUCACGCGUUUUCUCUUUGCAAAUCCCCCAUUUAACCCGAAAAUCACGUGUUUUCUCUUCAGCAAAUCCCCCGAUUUAACCGAAAAUCACGCGUUUUCUCUUCGCAAAUCUCCCAUUUAAGCAAAAAUCACGCGUUUUCUCUUCGCAAAUCCCCCAUUUAACCGAAAAUCACGCGUUUUCUCUUUGCAAAUCCCCCAUUUAAGCUGAAAAUCACGCGUUUUCUCUUUGCAAAUCCCCCAUUUAAGCCGAAAAUCACGCGUUUUCUCUUCGCAAAUCCCCCAUUUAACCGGAAAAUCACGCGUUUUCUCUUCGCAAAUCCCCCAUUUAAGCGAAAAUCACGCGUUUUCUCUUCGAGAAUCCCCCAUUUAAGCGAAAAUCACGCGUUUUCUCUUCGCAAAUCCCCCAUUUAAGCAAAAAUCACGCGUUUUCUUCUUUGCAGAAUCCCCCAUUUAAGCCGAAAAUCACGCGUUUUCUCUUCGCAAAUCCCCCAUUUAACCGAAAAUCACGCGUUUUCUCUUCAGCAAAUCCCCCAUUUAACCGAAAAUCACGCGUUUUCUCUUUGCAAAUCCCCCAUUUAAGCGAAAAUCACGCGUUUUCUCUUCGCAAAUCCCCCAUUUAACCGAAAAUCACGCGUUUUUCUCUUCGCAAAUCCCCCAUUUAAGCGAAAAUCACGCGUUUUCUCUUCGAGAAUCCCCCAUUUUAACCCGAAAAUCACGCGUUUUCUCUUCGAGAAUCCCCCAUUUAAGCGAAAAUCACGCGUUUUCUCUUCGCAAAUCCCCCAUUUAAGCGAAAAUCACGCGUUUUCUCUUCGCAAAUCCCCCAUUUAAGCGAAAAUCACGCGUUUUCUCUUCGAGAAUCCCCCAUUUAAGCGAAAAUCACGCGUUUUCUCUUCGCAAAUCCCCCAUUUAAGCGAAAAUCACGCGUUUUCUCUUCGAGAAUCCCCCAUUUAAGCCGAAAAUCACGCGUUUUCUCUUCGCAAAUCCCCCAUUUAAGCGAAAAUCACGCGUUUUCUCUUCGAGAAUCCCCCAUUUAAGCCGAAAAUCACGCGUUUUCUCUUCGCAAAUCCCCCAUUUAAGCGAAAAUCACGCGUUUUCUCUUCGAGAAUCCCCCAUUUAAGCGAAAAUCACGCGUUUUCUCUUCGCAAUCCCCCAUUUAAGCAAAAAUCACGCGUUUUCUCUUCGCAAAUCCCCCAUUUAAGCGAAAAUCACGCGUUUUCUCUUCGCAAAUCCCCCAUUUAACCCGAAAAUCACGCUGUUUUCUCUUCGCAAAUCCCCGAUUUAAGCGAAAAUCACGCGUUUUCUCUUCGAGAAUCCCCCAUUUAAGCCGAAAAUCACGCGUUUUCUCUUCGCAAAUCCCCCAUUUAAGCGAAAAUCACGCGUUUUCUCUUCGAGAAUCCCCCAUUUAAGCCGAAAAUCACGCGUUUUCCUCUUUGAGAAUCCCCCAUUUAAGCGAAAAUCACGCGUUUUCUCUUCGCAAAUCCCCCAUUUAACCCGAAAAUCACGCGUUUUCUCUUUGCAAAUCCCCCAUUUAACCCAAAAAUCACGCGUUUUCUCUUCGAGAAUCCCCCAUUUAAGCGAAAAUCACGCGUUUUCUCUUCGCAAAUCCCCCAUUUAAGCGAAAAUCACGCGUUUUCUCUUUGAGAAUCCCCCAUUUAACCCGAAAAUCACGCGUUUUCUCUUUGCAAAUCCCCCAUUUAACCCAAAAAUCACGCAUUUUCUCUUCGCAAAUCCCCCAUUUAACCCGAAAAUCACGCGUUUUCUCUUCGCAAAUCCCCCAUUUAAGCGAAAAUCACGCGUUUUCUCUUCGCAAAUCCCCCAUUUAACCGGAAAAUCACGCGUUUUCUCUUUGCAAAUCCCCCAUUUAACCCGAAAAUCACGCGUUUUCUCUUCGCAAAUCCCCCAUUUAACCCGAAAAUCACGCGUUUUCUCUUCGCAAAUCCCCAUUUAACCCGAAAAUCACGCGUUUUCUCUUCGCAAAUCCCCCAUUUAACCCGAAAACCACGCGUUUUCUCUUCGCAAAUCCCCCAUUUAACCGGAAAACCACGCGUUUUCUCUUCGCAAAUCCCCCAUUUAACCGAAAAUCACGCGUUUUCUCUUCGCAAAUCCCCCAUUUAACCGAAAAUCACGCGUUUUCUCUUCGCAAAUCCCCCAUUUAACCCGAAAAUCACGCGUUUUCUCUUCGCAAAUCCCCGAUUUAACCCGAAAAUCACGCGUUUUCUCUUCGCAAAUCCCCCAUUUAAGCAAAAACCACGCGUUUUCUCUUCGCAAAUCCCCCAUUUAACCCGAAAAUCACGCGUUUUCUCUUCGCAAAUCCCCCAUUUAACCCGAAAAUCACGCGUUUUCUCUUCGCAAAUCCCCCAUUUAAGCAAAAAUCACGCGUUUUCUCUUCGAGAAUCCCCCAUUUAACCCGAAAAUAACGCGUUUUCUCUUCGCAAAUCCCCAUUUUAACCAAAAAUCACGCAUUUUCUCCUCGAGAAUCCCCAUUUAAGCGAAAAUCACACGUUUUCUCUUCGCAAAUCCCCCAUUUAAGCGAAAAUCACGCGUUUCUCUUCACAAAUUCCCCAUUUAACCGAAAAUCACGUGUUUUCUCUUUGCAAAUCCCCCAUUUAAGCGAAAAUCACGCGUUUUCUCUUGGAGAAUCCCCCAUUUAAGCGAAAAUCACGCGUUUUCUCUUCGCAAAUCCCCCAUUUAAGCAAAAACCACGCGUUUUCUCUUCGCAAAUCCCCCAUUUAACCCGAAAACCACGUGUUUUCUCUUCGCAAAUCCCCCAUUUAUGCAAAAAUCACGCGUUUUCUCUUCGCAAAUCCCCCAUUUAACCCGAAAAUAACGCGUUUUCUCUUCGCAAAUCCCCCAUUUAACCAAAAAUCACGCAUUUUCUCCUCGAGAAUCCCCCAUUUAAGCGAAAAUCACACGUUUUCUCUUCGCAAAUCCCCCAUUUAAGCGAAAAUCACGCGUUUUCUCUUCGCAAAUCCCCCAUUUAAGCAAAAAUCACGCGUUUUCUCUUCGCAAAUCCCCCAUUUAACCCGAAAAUCACGUGUUUUCUCUUCGCAAAUCCCCGAUUUAAGCGAAAAUCACGCGUUUUCUCUUCGAGAAUCCCCCAUUUAACCCGAAAAUCACGCGUAUUCUCUUCGCAAAUCCCCCAUUUAAGCGAAAAUCACGCGUUUUCUCUUCGAGAAUCCCGCAUUGAACCCGAAAAUCACGCGUUUUCUCUUUGAGAAUCCCCCAUUUAAGCGAAAAUCACGCGUUUUCUCUUCGCAAAUCCCCCAUUUAACCCAAAAAUCACGCGUUUUCUCUUUGCAAAUCCCCCAUUUAACCCAAAAAUCACGCGUUUUCUCUUCGCAAAUCCCCCAUUUAAGCGAAAAUCACGCGUUUUCUCUUCGCAAAUCCCCCAUUUAACCGAAAAUCACGCGUUUUCUCUUUGAGAAUCCCCCAUUUAACCCGAAAAUCACGUGUUUUCUCUUUGCAAAUCCCCCAUUUAACCCAAAAAUCACGCAUUUUCUCUUCGCAAAUCCCCCAUUUAACCCGAAAAUCACGCGUUUUCUCUUCGCAAAUCCCCCAUUUAAGCGAAAAUCACGCGUUUUCUCUUCGCAAAUCCCCCAUUUAACCCGAAAAUCACGCGUUUUCUCUUCGCAAAUCCCCCAUUUAACCCGAAAAUCACGCGUUUUCUCUUCGCAAAUCCCCAUUUAACCCGAAAAUCACGCGUUUUCUCUUCACAAAUCCCCCAUUUAACCCGAAAACCACGCGUUUUCUGUUCGCAAAUCCCCCAUUUAAGCCAAAAAUCACGCAUUUUCUCUUCGAGAAUCCCCCAUUUAACCGAAAAUCACGCGUUUUCUCUUUGCAAAUUCCCCAUUUAAGCAAAAAUCACGUGUUUUCUCUUCGAGAAUCCCCCAUUUAAGCGAAAAUCACGCGUUUUCUCUUCGUAAAUCCCCCAUUUAACUUGAAAAUCAAGCGUUUUCUCUUUGCAAAUCCCCCAUUUAACCCGAAAAUCACGCGUUUUCUCUUCGCAAAUCCCCCAUUUAAGCGAAAAUCACGCGUUUUCUCUUCACAAAUCCCCCAUUUAAGCAAAAAUCACGCGUUUUCUCUUCGCAAAUCCCCCAUUUAAGCAAAAAUCACGCGUUUUCUCUUCGAGAAUCCCCCAUUUAAGUGAAAAUCAAGCGUUUUCUCUUCGCAAAUCCCCCAUUUAACCCGAAAAUCACGCGUUUUCUCUUCGAGAAUCCCCCAUUGAACCCGAAAAACACGCGUUUUCUCUUCGCAAAUCCCCCAUUUAAGCAAAAAUCACGCAUUUUCUCUUCGCAAAUCCCCCAUUUAACCGAAAAUCACGCGUUUUCUCUUCGCAAAUCCCCCAUUUAAGCGAAAAUCAUGCGUUUUCUCUUCGCAAAUCCCCCAUUUAAGCCGAAAAUAACGCGUUUUCUCUUCGAGAAUCCCCCAUUUAACCCAAAAAUCAUGCGUUUUCUCUUCGAGAAUCCCCCAUUUAAGCGAAAAUCACGCGUUUUCUCUUCGCAAAUCCCCCAUUUAACCCGAAAAUCACGCGUUUCCUCUUUAGAAUCCCCACUUUAACUUAAAAAUCACGCAUUUUCUCUUCGCAAAUCCCCCAUUUAAGCAAAAAUCACGCGUUUUCUCUUCGAGAAUUUUCCAUUUAAGGGAAAAUCACGCAUUUUCUCUUUGCAAAUCUCCCAUUUAAGCGAAAAUCACGCGUUUUCUCUUCGCAAAUCCCCCAUUUAACCCGAAAAUCACGCGUUUUCUCUUCGCAAAUCCCCCAUUUAAGCGAAAAAUCACGCGUUUUCUCUUCGCAAAUCCCCCAUUUAAGCGAAAAUCACGCGUUUUCUCUUCGCAAAUCCCCCAUUUAAGAGAACAUCACGCGUUUUCUCUUCGCAAAUCCCCCAUUUAACCCGAAAAUCACGCGUUUUCUCUUCGCAAAUCCCCCAUUUAACCCGAAAAUCAAGCGUUUUCUCUUUGCAAAUCCCCCAUUUAACCCGAAAAUCACGCGUUUUCUCUUCGCAAAUCCCCCAUUUAAGCAAAAAUCACGCGUUUUCUCGUCGCAAAUCCCCCAUUUAAGCAAAAAUCACGCGUUUUCUCUUCGCAAAUCCCCCAUGUUACCCAAAAAUCACGCGUUUUCUCUUCGAGAAUCCCCCAUUUAAGUGAAAAUCACGCGUUUUCUCUUCGCAAAUCCCCCAUUUAACCCGAAAAUCACGCGUUUUCUCUUCGAGAAUCCCCCAUUGAACCCGAAAAACACAAGUUUUCUCUUCGCAAAUCCCCCAUUUAAGCAAAAAUCACGUGUUUUCUCUUCGCAAAUCCCCCAUUUAACCGAAAAUCACGCGUUUUCUCUUCGCAAAUCCCCCAUUUAAGCGAAAAUCACGCGUUUUCUCUUCGCAAAUCCCCCAUUUAAGCGAAAAUCACGCGUUUUCUCUUCACAAAUCCCCCAUUUAAGCAAAAAUCACGCGUUUUCUCUUCGCAAAUCCCCCAUUUAACCUGAAAAUCACGCGUUUUCUCUUCGAGAAUCCCUCAUUUAAGCGAAAAUCACGCGUUUUCUCUUCGCAAAUCCCCCAUUUAACCGAAAAUCACGCGUUUUCUCUUCGAGAAUCCCCCAUUGAACCCGAAAAACACGCGUUUUCUCUUCGCAAAUCCCCCAUUUAAGCAAAAAUCACGCGUUUUCUCUUCGCAAAUCCCCCAUUUAACCGAAAAUCACGCGUUUUCUCUUCCCAAAUCCCCCAUUUAAGCGAAAAUCAUGCGUUUUCUCUUCGCAAAUCCCCCAUUUAAGCCGAAAAUCACGCGUUUUCUCUUCGCAAAUCCCCCAUUUAACCCAAAAAUCAUGCGUUUUCUCUUCGAGAAUCCCCCAUUUAAGCGAAAAUCACGCGUUUUCUCUUCGCAAAUCCCCCAUUUAACCCGAAAAUCACGCGUUUCCUCUUUAGAAUCCCCACUUUAACUUAAAAAUCACGCAUUUUCUCUUCGCAAAUCCCCCAUUUAAGCGAACAUCACGCGUUUUCUCUUCGCAAAUCCCCCAUUUAAGCAAAAAUCACGUGUUUUCUCUUCGCAAAUCCCCCAUUUAACCGAAAAUCACGCGUUUUCUCUUCGCAAAUCCCCCAUUUAAGCGAAAAUCACGCGUUUUCUCUUCGCAAAUCCCCCAUUUAAGCGAAAAUCACGCGUUUUCUCUUCACAAAUCCCCCAUUUAAGCAAAAAUCACGCGUUUUCUCUUCGCAAAUCCCCCAUUUAACCCGAAAAUCACGCGUUUUCUCUUCGAGAAUCCCUCAUUUAAGUGAAAAUCACGCGUUUUCUCUUCGCAAAUCCCCCAUUUAACCCGAAAAUCACGCGUUUUCUCUUCGAGAAUCCCCCAUUGAACCCGAAAAACACGCGUUUUCUCUUCGCAAAUCCCCCAUUUAAGCAAAAAUCACGCGUUUUCUCUUCGCAAAUCCCCCAUUUAACCGAAAAUCACGCGUUUUCUCUUCCCAAAUCCCCCAUUUAAGCGAAAAUCAUGCGUUUUCUCUUCGCAAAUCCCCCAUUUAAGCCGAAAAUAACGCGUUUUCUCUUCGAGAAUCCCCCAUUUAACCCAAAAAUCAUGCGUUUUCUCUUCGAGAAUCCCCCAUUUAAGCGAAAAUCACGCGUUUUCUCUUCGCAAAUCCCCCAUUUAACCCGAAAAUCACGCGUUUCCUCUUUAGAAUCCCCACUUUAACUUAAAAAUCACGCAUUUUCUCUUCGCAAAUCCCCCAUUUAAGCAAAAAUCACGCGUUUUCUCUUCGAGAAUUUUCCAUUUAAGGGAAAAUCACGCAUUUUCUCUUUGCAAAUCUCCCAUUUAAGCGAAAAUCACGCGUUUUCUCUUCGCAAAUCCCCCAUUUAACCCGAAAAUCACGCGUUUUCUCUUCGCAAAUCCCCCAUUUAAGCGAAAAAUCACGCGUUUUCUCUUCGCAAAUCCCCCAUUUAACCGAAAAUCACGCGUUUUCUCUUCCCAAAUCCCCCAUUUAAGCGAACAUCACGCGUUUUCUCUUCGCAAAUCCUCCAUUUAACCCGAAAAUCACGCGUUUUCUCUUCGCAAAUCCCCCUUUUAACCCGAAAAUCAAGCGUUUUCUCUUUGCAAAUCCCCCAUUUAACCCGAAAAUCACGCAUUUUCUCUUCGCAAAUCCCCCAUUUAAGCAAAAAUCACGCGUUUUCUUGUCGCAAAUCCCCCAUUUAAGCAAAAAUCACGCGUUUUCUCUUCGCAAAUCCCCCAUGUUACCCGAAAAUCACGCGUUUUCUCUUCACAAAUCCCCCAUUUAAUUGAAAAUCACGCGUUUUCUCUUCGCAAAUCCCCCAUUUAACCCGAAAAUCACGCGUUUUCUCUUCGAGAAUCCCCCAUUGAACCCGAAAAACACACGUUUUCUCUUCGCAAAUCCCCCAUUUAAGCAAAAAUCACGCGUUUUCUCUUCGCAAAUCCCCCAUUUAACCGAAAAUCACGCGCUUUCUCUUCGCAAAUCCCCCAUUUAAGCGAAAAUCAUGCGUUUUCUCUUUGCAAAUCCCCCAUUUAAGCCGAAAAUAACGCGUUUUCUCUUCGAGAAUCCCCCAUUUAACCCAAAAAUCAUGCGUUUUCUCUUCGAGAAUCCCCCAUUUAAGCGAAAAUCACGCGUUUUCUCUUCGCAAAUCCCCCAUUUAACCCGAAAAUCACGCGUUUCCUCUUUAGAAUCCCCACUUUAACUUAAAAAUCACGCAUUUUCUCUUCGCAAAUCCCCCAUUUAACCCGAAAAUCACGCGUUUUCUCUUCGCAAAUCCCCCAUUUAACCCGAAAAUCACGCAUUUUCUCUUCGAGAAUUUUCCAUUUAAGGGAAAAUCACGCAUUUUCUCUUUGCAAAUCCCCCAUUUAAGCGAAAAAUCACACGUUUUCUCUUCGCAAAUCCCCCAUUUAAGCGAAAAUCACGCGUUUUCUCUUCGCAAAUCCCCCAUUUAAGCGAAAAUCACGCGUAUUCUCUUCGCAAAUCCCCCAUUUUAGCGAAAAUCACUCGUUUUCUCUUCAAGAAUCCCCCAUUUAAGCGAACAUCACGCGUUUUCUCUUCGCAAAUCCCCCAUUUAACCCGAAAAUCACGCGUUUUCUCUUCGCAAAUCCCCCAUUUAACCCGAAAAUCAAGCGUUUUCUCUUCGCAAAUCCCCCAUUUAACCCGAAAAUCACGCGUUUUCUCUUCGCAAAUCCCCCAUUUAAGCAAAAAUCACGCGUUUUCUCGUCGCAAAUCACCCAUUUAAGCAAAAAUCACGCGUUUUCUCUUCGCAAAUCCCCCAUGUUACCCGAAAAUCACGCGUUUUCUCUUCGAGAAUCCCCCAUUUAAGUGAAAAUCACGCGUUUUCUCUUCGCAAAUCCCCCAUUUAACCCGAAAAUCACGCGUUUUCUCUUCGAGAAUCCCCCAUUGAACCCGAAAAACACACGUUUUCUCUUCGCAAAUCCCCCAUUUAAGCAAAAAUCACGCGUUUUCUCUUCGCAAAUCCCCCAUUUAACCGAAAAUCACGCGUUUUCUCUUCGCAAAUCCCCCAUUUAAGCGAAAAUCAUGCGUUUUCUCUUCGCAAAUCCUCAAUUUAAGCCGAAAAUAACGCGUUUUCUCUUCGAGAAUCCCCCAUUUAACCCAAAAAUCAUGCGUUUUCUCUUCGAGAAUCCCCCAUUUAAGCGAAAAUCACGCGUUUUCUCUUCGCAAAUCCCCCAUUUAACCCGAAAAUCACGCGUUUCCUCUUUAGAAUUCCCACUUUAACUUAAAAAUCACGCAUUUUCUCUUCGCAAAUCCCCCAUUUAACCAAAAAUCACGCGUUUUCUCUUCGCAAAUCCCCCAUUUAAGCAAAAAUCACGCGUUUUCUCUUCGAGAAUUUUCCAUUUAAGGGAAAAUCACGCAUUUUCUCUUUGCAAAUCCCCCAUUUAAGCGAACAUCACGCGUUUUCUCUUCGCAAAUCCCCCAUUUAACCCGAAAAUCACGCGUUUUCUCUUCGCAAAUCCCCCAUUUAACCCGAAAACCACGCGUUUUCUCUUCGCAAAUCCCCCAUUUAUGCAAAAAUCACGCGUUUUCUCUUCGAGAAUCCCCCAUUUAACCAAAAAUCACGCGUUUUCUCUUUGCAAAUCCCCCAUUUAAGCAAAAAUCACGCGUUUUCUCGUUGCAAAUCCUAGAUUUAACCCGAAAAUCACGCGUUUUCUCUUUGAGAAUCCCCCAUUUAAGCGAAAAUCACGCGUUUUCUCUUCGCAAAUCCCCCAUUUAAGCGAAAAUCACGCGUUUUCUCUUUGCAAAUCCCCCAUUUAACCCAAAAAUCACGCGUUUUCUCUUCGAGAAUCCCCCAUUUAACCUGAAAAUCACACGUUUUCUCUUCGAGAAUCCCCCAUUUAACCCGAAAAUCACGCGUUUUCUCUUCGCAAAUCCCCCAUUUAAGCAAAAAUCACGCAUUUUCUCUUCGCAAAUCCCCGAUUUAACCCAAAAAUCACGCGUUUUCUCUUCGCACAUCCCCCAUUUAAUCGAAAAUCACGCGUUUUCUCUUCGCAAAUCCCCCAUUUAAGCAAAAAUCACGCAUUUUCUAUUCGAGAAUCCUCCAUUUAAGUGAAAAUCAUGUGUUUUCUCUUCGAGAGUCCCCAUUUAAGCAAAAAUCACGCAUUUUCUCUUCGAGAAUCCUCCAUUUAAGCGAAAAUCACGCGUUUUCUCUUCGAGAGUCCCCAUUUAAGCAAAAAUCACGCAUUUUCUCUUCGAGAAUCCCCCAUUUAAGCGAAAAUCACACAUUUUCUCUUCGAGAAUCCUCCAUUUAACCCGAAAUUCAUGCAUUUUCUCUUUGGAAAUCUUCCUUUUAACCUGAAAAUCACGCCUUUUCUCUUCAAGAAUCCCCCAUUUAUGCAAAAAUCACGCGUUUUCUCUUCGGGAUUCCCCCAUUUAUCCCGAAAAUCACGUGUUUUCUCUUCGUAAAUUCCCCAUUUAUCUUGAAAAUCACGCUUUUUCUCUUCCAGAAUCCCCCCUUUAACCGAAAAUGACGCAUUUUCUCUUCGUAAAUCCCCCAUUUAACUCAAAAAUCACGUGUUUUCUCUUCGCAAAUCCCCCAUUUAUCCCAAAAAUCACGCGUUUUCUCUUCGAGAAUCCCCCAUUUUACUCUAAAAUCACGCGUUUUCUCUUCGCAAAUCCCCCAUUUGAGCGAAAAUCACGCGUUUUCUUAUUGAAAAUCCCCCAUUUUACCUGAAAAUCACAUUUUUUCUCUUCUAGAAUCCCCUUUUUAACCCGAAAAUCACGCGUUUUCUCUUCAAAAGUCUACCAUUUCACCUGGAAAUCAACCAUUUUCUC